rnacentral:tRNA from 1 species
AGAGCUUUGCUGCAUAGCAGUUAAAGACACGACUAUAAGGAAAGACGAAGUUUUAGUUUUAGUUGUCAAUUCAAGAUAUUUUUCGGUUGAUGAUCCUGAAUUCAUUUCAGGAUCAUUCAAUUGAUAAAUAGGACAGUCUCAUAGCUCAGCUGGUUAGAGCGCUACACUGAUAAUGUAGAGGUCGGCAGUUCGAGUCUGCCUGAGACUACUACGCACCAAAAGGUGCGAAGUAUAUCCGCGAAGGCGGAUAUCUUUAAGGCUAAAGUCACAGACUUAGUUUUAAAGAAAGUUCAUAAACAAGUAUUGAAGGAAAUUUUAGAAGUUGGGUAACCCAGUUUGCAGUAAGCAGAAGCAGUUAGCAGUAAUUUAGACUGUGUACUGAAUACUGAAACUGCCUACUUUAUAAAUGGGGGAUUAGCUCAACUGGCUAGAGCGCCUGCCUUGCACGCAG